rnacentral:ribozyme from 2 species
GCUGUAAUGCGGCCACCGUAAGGUGCGGGUUCCAAGCCCCGGUAAACGCAGAGGACAGU